CACCCAGACUCCCCUCAGGCCUUCACUCAUGGUCACCCAAAGGUUGGGUUGAGAGCUGGUAGGAUACUGAUGAGGACCUUACAGCUAUUAGUCUGCCACAAGUGGGUACAGGACUUCCAGUGGAUCUAUUGCUAGAUCAGAGGCCAUCUGAAAAGUAUAGCACAACACAGGUGGACUUCACUGGCCAAAUAAAUGAGCAAACUCAGAGUAUCAGUGAAGAAGGAAUGUUUUGCAUGCCUGGAACAAGAUGCAUAAUGAAGGCAAAAUUGCUGUGAGCAGAAAAAAUAAUGUUUUAAUAAUUAUAUCAGAUUAAAUUGAGUAGUUAAUGUCUUAGCCAGCCAGCCAGGCUAAACAGGUGAGAGCAAUGCCUGCAAAGACAUGUUAGUGCUCUGUGGAAUUAAAUAUCAACAGGUAAUUAUCAACCUAUAUAUUUUCUAAUUGGAGACCUCAAAGGGCUUUUAUGAAUGGAUGUAGAUUUAUUUUCAUUAAAAAAGGGCACUUGGGAGGUAACAAACUGUAUGUUCAAGUAAAAGCCUUCAGUGUCUUCUAGAGCAUGUUAUUUUUUACUAUAGUUACACCCUGAGGAUGCUUGUAGAUACCUAAGUAUACAAUUAAUUAACUCCAUUAUUAGUGUAAUUUCUUUAGUAGAUUUUCUGUAUACUCUGAUGCUGGGUUUCAUUAUUAAAGGAGUAAUAUACAGCAAGAGGUGAGAUUUUUGUUGGGCUUUUAUUCUUUUAUUGGUAAUGGACUUUCUCUUCCAAUUUAGUUAAGACACUGGAACUGUAAGAACCAUGUCAGUACUUUUGAUUACAAACAACACUUCCUACACAAUACAUGUUCUAAUGUGUAGGAAAUGUUUAUGCAGAUUGAAAACUUUAACCUGAACUUUGAAUAAUUCACUUACCUUCUUUUCCCUAAAUGUAUAUGUAAUAAACUGAUAGUAUCUCCAGUUUGUAUCCCUCAUGAUAGUAUAUGUUCACCUUAAUUAACCUUUUGUGAUGGGUAGGGUAUAAUAUUUUUCAGCCAGUAAAAUAUCUGUUGCAAAUGUAUUUUUUACCUGUCAUUUGAAAUAAAAGCAGGAUAACAGAUCAUACAGAUAUGAAACACGGAAUUCUUUACCUAUUGCUAUGAAGGGUAAUUUAAAAAUCAGGAAAAUAUUUGCAUAGAUUUAAAAAAUAGAAAUUAAAGUACUUAGAGAAAUUCUGUGUUUAUAAUAACAUACCUAAAAGAAGAUAAUGCAACAAUAUGUAAGUUGUUACAAUUUUUAUCGAUUGAAGGGAUAUUUUUGCUGUCUCACAGCAUUGCUGAAUAUUGUUCUGUUUCUUUUUGACCUUUAAAGUGAUUAGAUUUGAGUAACAUGUUAAAACUUUUUUUUUAAAAAGUGUCCCUUUUAAAAAGGGCAGAAGCUAACUUCUGAUCAUGUUGUUACAUUAGCCCCAGUAGUCUAAAUAUGUGGGACUUUACCUUUCUUUUGUGAUACAAGGACAGAAUGCUAAUUUUUUUUUUUUAUUUUUUUUUUUUUUUUAAUCAAGGUCUGCUAUUGUACAAGGAGAAGUAGCAGAAGGUACAUUUAAGUACAUAAAGUUAGUAAAGAGAGUUUCUCAGAAAUCUCCCUACUCCACAGUAAUAAAACAGAACAAAACAUAGUCUAUUUGUCAAGGACAAACAAUAUCAAACUGAUCUAUUUUCCUUUAUUAGUGUGACUGGCUUGGCAUAUAAGUGAACAGCAGUGAAUGUAAUUUCAAGUUUAGUAAGGUUUUUGUGCUGUUCUGCUAUGCACCUGCCAUAAACAAUUCCAGGAAAUGUGAUCUAGAUUAAAUCACGAUUGUAGAGUUGGAGAAUUGGCUGAAACAUUACUGAGCAGUAGUCAUCAGGUUACCAAAGUGAGAGGGCAUAGACUGGGAUCUGACAGGAGUUUAUUCUGGUGUUGCUUUUUCUCAGUGUGUCCAUGAAUGAGUUGGAUGUCAGAAAAGAACAUUAUAUUAUAAAAUAUCUGGCUAACAGCAAGUUUCAGGGUCAUCUUGGUGAGUUGGAUUGUUCAUGAUCAACAGGCUGAAUUUCAAUAAAGAGAAGCACCUUUCCAUUCAGCUACUACUGAAUUAUCUUUUGGUGAUUCUACUGAUGAUUAGAUUAUCUUCUAUUGAUGCUGAAAUGAGAUACCCCAAGAGCUGACAUAAUUGCUCUAAAAAGGUUACCUCAGAAAUAUUUAAGUAGCACUAUUUUAGCAAAACCUUAAGCAUGUUAGUUUGAAAGAUAAUUCUCAGUAAUCUGUAAUCUCAGUAAUCAUCAAGGGAGAAGAAAUCCUGCCAUACAGGGAAGAACCCAAAAUACACUUCUGUUAAGCACUUUCCUUUCCCAAGCCCUUCACUUUCUUCAUAGUUCUUCAUUUAUUGAGAAUAUGCUCUUCUUUUGUGCUUGUUGGAAAACAUAAAAAAGGUGAGUCUAAUGGGGUAAAAAGAGGAAUUGUCCCAAGUUUUGCUACUCUGUGCUUUAGCUAGUGGAGAGCACAGUGGUAAGUUCUUGAAGGGUUUUCAAUAUGCUUUUGCGAGCUUUUUGUAAACUGUGUGUUUCAAAAGAUUUAGGAAGAAUCGCUGUGAGACUGCACUUCCCAUUACAAGACAUUCCUGUAUCAGUUGCACCAUCUGCUUAUAGGAAAUGAGGGAAGCAGUUAAAUAUGCUUGAUUGUCUCUACUGGGAGUCAGCUGGAAACUAGAAGAUGGUGGCUUCUGCCAAUCUCUCCUUCCCUACUCCAUAAAACCUUGUAGAAGUCCAGUGGUUUAAAAAGUUCUCAGUAAGGACAAAUAAUGUAUUACUUCUGUGAUGGAUGGCAAACUAAGAAACAAUUUACACUUUUUUUUAACUCCUUUCACUCGCAUGUCAUGGAAAAUCAGCUUAAAACAAACCAGUUUCCAUUGUGCCUUUCCAAAUUAAUUUCCUUUUACCACUCUUAUUGCAGAUAAAUGCCUUGAUAUCAUUUUACUUUCUUCUGGGCAGUAUCUUAACACAGAUAUUUAUCACAGGGCACAAGGCUUCUCCUGGUUAUUGGGACAAAGGAGUUUUGAGAUAGAACACUUUCUAAAACAAAACCCAACUGCUCUGUUUUUUUGUUGGUUUUGCCCAUUAUCUAGCUGUGUUAUGGCAGUUUGGAUAGUUUUUAAUCCAUAAUGUUGCAACACAUACUCUGAACAAGACUGUGCUUUGCCACAGUAAAAUUUCUUUCAUGGAGGGUCAGCUGGAAAAAAAGCAGGGAAACUUAGAAGGUGAUACAUUGGCGGUAGUUUGUUACCUGUGUUCUGAUGUUUUGUUCUAUGCUAGUGUUUGCUUUGUUCUGUAACUAGUGUCUGAGAAACGGAAAAAUACGUACUGUGUUGUGAAUCCCAUAGGAGCAGUACAGAAAAGGCCCUCUGCCUCCCCCUAUCCCAAGGAACAGAAGAAGUUAAACUUGUUGUGCACCUUCUUGUGGUAGCCUAGAAGAGACUUGGAAGUCUAUUUAUUACACAGGAUUGGUUUCAGUCUUUGGAGCUGAACAUGGCUCAUGUAGACCACAAGAAUGAAUGUGACUUUUGGGAACACCCAUUUUCAUGUAGAAGAUAAAGAGCGCAGGACAACAUUUUAAAAAUAAAAUUCAAGUUGCAUUUAUUUUUUUUGACAGUAGUGUGGAUGAGUUUCAAUUGAAUAUGUAACACCCUGUAAAGGAAAACAAGAUAGGUAACUCAGCAUGACAUUCAGCUUUCGAUAUUUUAAUAAAAAUAGCAAUGUUGCAUUUAUACUUGAGUGAGGGAAGCAAGUUGUUUUUUAGUUGGUUUUAGGCACUGAAAACCAGUCUGAGCUGUUAGUCUACUAUUAUAUGCUUAAAUCAAAAUAGCAGCAAAUUCCAAAUAAACCUAGUGGAGUACUGCUUUACUACUUAUGACAUGGAAUAUCAACAGCUGCACCCUUAGCAUACAGAGUACAGUGAAGGUCAAGAUCUUUACAGGAUUCAGCAGGGCCACUAUUUUACCUAUAGUACAUUUUCUUCCUCUAAAUGGACUCUCCAGUUUAUUUUUGUCCUUUUUCCUUCCUCAGACACACCAGUAAGUCUUCAGUGGAAAUUCUACCUAACAUGAUAAUUCUUCAACUUCUUUGCUGCUAAUCAUGCAGUGGGAGGUAAUGUGUAUGAACAUUAAACAGCAUCUUAUACCAAUCUUCAGCAGACACCAAUAGUAAUCUACUGGACAAAAGGAGAUUGGGAUAUUCUAUUACUGCUAGACCUGAAGCUGUCAUUUCUACCUUUGAGCCUGCUACCGAAUGUAGUAUUGAAGAUACCCUCUCUGUUUCCAAAUGUAGUUUUGGGUUACAAAAUGGUAACGUGGAGGACAGUCUCCUAAUGGAAGAAAAUAAUGCAAAUGAAAAGAUAAAUUACCAUUUGCCUAAAUAUUUCAAAAGCAUGGAUUUGAAGUUAAAAGCCAUAAGCAAUCAUAAACAGCUAAGGAACUAAAAUCCAGACAUGAAAACAAAACAGUCCUCUCUCCUUCCUUCCCCACCAUUCAUUAGUCUUUACAAAAAGCAGUCUUUUCAAAACAGGAUAAUCACAACUUAGGUUUUGGUUUGUCCCCAGAAGGCUCUGAUGUGAAACUGUUCUCUCAUCUACUGGAAACAGAAGGAAUGCAGCAUGUGAUGGUGCAAUUCUUACCCCUCCCCACCUCUUCUUGUUGGGCUGCUUGGUGCUAGAUGUGAUUCCACCCACCUCCCCUGAGCUAUACACCAAUCUAUGAAGAUAAGGACGGCUAAAGUUAAGGCACCUGGCUCCAGUUAUAACAACCCAUCAUCUCCUAAGGGCCUGGCACACCUGUGCAUGGGAUGUGGUCAAAUGGGAACAAUAACAGAGUUGCACGUUCAUCAGGUUCUUGUGCAACUGCUGGAAGGCACCAGAAUAUUUCAUUGUUCGAGCUGGGCGUGAGCAAAAGGUAUCUGACAAAAGUAAAUUAUCUUGGACCCUACCAAUUGCAACCACAAGGGAGAGCCUUGGAGCUCUCCUGGAUCGCAGUGGGCCUGUGAUCAGCAUCUCUCUGAGCUGGGACGCCUCUCAGGUAUCAAAACCCUUAAGGUGUUUUCUCCUGUCAGACCUGAUGGAAGGCCAGGGUGAAGUCAACCCAA